CCACUCACUACAAACAAGCUAGUUGUACGAAGAGCAGAAAUGGGAGCCUUGGGAAAGCCAAGGCCUUCUUCGCUCAUCAUUACCAUGUUUUAUUGUUUGACAUUCUGCUUCUUAGCUACUACUAGUGUUCAUGCUACUAUUCCUCUUUUACCUCCCAUAAUCCUACCUCCUAUUCCCAAGCUACCUCCUAUUCCCAUCCUACCUCCUUACAAGUCAUCACCACCUCCGCCACAGCCCAAGUCUUCACCACCUCCGCCUUCACCACCUCCGCCACAGCCCAAGUCUUCACCACCUCCGCCACCUCCGCCUUCACCACCUCCGCCACAGCCUAAGUCUUCACCACCUCCGCCACCUCCGCCUUCACCACCUCCGCCUUCACCACCUCCGCCUUCACCACCUCCGCCACCUCCGCCUUCACCACAGCCUAAGUCUUCACCACCUCCGCCACCGCCCAACUCAUCACCACCUCCGCCACCCUCACCCUCACCUCUACCUCCUUACAAGUCACCACCACCACCAUCUCCAUCACCAUCUCCAUCACAAUCUCUACCAUCUCUAUCACCACCAUCUCCAUCACCAUCUCUAUCACCAUCUCCAUCACCAU
rnacentral:lncRNA from 1 species